AUGUUGACUUUUGUUCUUUUAUUACUGAUAUUAACUGAAGGUAACAGUGUUAAAGAAGUCAUCACCCCAUAUAGUGAUGCAGCAUUUGCCACUGAACGUGAGAGUGUGACUCUGUCUUGUAACUACACUGGUUCUGUUGAUAGUCUUCACUGGUAUCGGCAAUACACCGGUUCAUCUCCACAGUUCCUCAUACUGGAAUACUAUGGCAAAUCUAGAUAUGCUGAUCCUCCAGUUCCUGGAAUCUCCAUCAAACACAGAAAAGAAAGCACUAGUGUGGAUCUAGAGAUCUCCUCUGCUGCAGUAUCAGACUCUGCUCUAUACUACUGCGCCCUGAAGCCCACAGUGACAGGAAAACUCUGCACACCAUACAAAAACCUGACUGACAGUCUUAACGCAAUAUAG